CCUACGGGAGGCAGCAGUAAGGAAUAUUGGACAAUGGACGCAAGUCUGAUCCAGCCAUGCCGCGUGAAGGAUUAAGGCCCUCUGGGUUGUAAACUUCUUUUAUAGGGGACGAAAAAAGGGCUUUCUAGCUCGACUGACGGUACCCUAUGAAUAAGCACCGGCUAACUCCGUGCCAGCAGCCGCGGUAAUACGGAGGGUGCAAGCGUUAUCCGGAUUCACUGGGUUUAAAGGGUGCGUAGGCGGGCAGUUAAGUCAGUGGUGAAAUCUUCGAGCUCAACUCGGAAACUGCCAUUGAUACUAUCUGUCUUGAAUAUUGUGGAGGUGAGCGGAAUAUGUCAUGUAGCGGUGAAAUGCUUAGAUAUGACAUAGAACACCGAUUGCGAAAGGCAGCUCGCUACACAAAAUAUUAGACGCUGAGGCACGAAAGCGUGGGGAUCAAACAGGAUUAGAUAACCCUGGUAGUCCACGCCCUAAACUAUGGAUACUCGACAUUUGCGAUACACAGUAAGUGUCUGAGCGAAAGCAUUAAAGUAUCCACCUGGAAGUACGACGCAAGGUUGAAACUCAAAAGGAAUUAGACGG
rnacentral:rRNA from 1 species